CUGCGUUAUCUGUGACAAGUGGUUAUACAGAGGCCCGUAUCCAGGGGCUCUGGAGUUCGUUCCACUGGAGGGAUCUUGGCGGCGGCGGCAGGUUACACAGAGUAACCUCGUCCGUCUUGUUGUGCAUGGUCAAUAUCUGCAUUUUACAGGCCAUUCUGGGUUCUCCUUGACGUCAACAGGCUUUGACUUUAGUCUUCAGCAGAGCUGGUGCAGGCCCUAAGUCCUGUAAAAUUUUGGUUCCACUGAAGUGACUGAGAGUUAAUGUUGGUGGAGCCGGGACUUCAUGCCGUGUCUGUUAACGAGGCCAAGUUUUCACAUCCCACAGUGAACUGGGCUUUGAAGAUCGGGCUUUUUAUUAGCAUUGUUAUCUGGGCAGGUUGCUGCACAUGAUUUCACUCUUCUUCCCUGGUCAAAGAAUUUCUCAGCAACUACAGAAAUCCAUGAAUGAACAACAUGGGAAAUUGAAGCAAUGCUAAGAGGCAUCAGGAUGGAACCACGGAAGCAUGCACACGUGCUCUCAUGCUGAACUGCAGAAACCUGAUACAGAAGUGCAGUAGGCAAUGUCAAAGUGUCAUUGAAUUACUAGAGCAUUGCUGACUAUCGUGCAUUGCACAGCACCUCUGUUGUUCAAAGAAACCUGAAAUAAUCACUUUCCAAGAGGAGCAGGAAAGACAGGAAUUUUGUUUGUAUUCAGUUUGUCUGCACCUGAACACUGGUUUCUCUGGUCUCCCAUGGGAAAUAGGCCACACUUAGAUGGAGUUCACCCCUGUGAGACAGAACUGCAAAGACUUGGACUUUGAAUGAAUGUGUUGUGCCUGCUCCAGCACGCAUCAGCUCCCGCAGUAAAGGCUUUCUAAUGUUAUGGACAAUUAAUCGUGUGAAUUUCAUUCACCACAGCUGCAUGGUCAUCAGCAUAAUUUGAACAGAUAAGUGAACAAGUGUUUAACGUCGUCGACAUAGAAAGAGAGCCAUUACUAGGAUGAACUCUGUGUGCCACACAUCACUGCAUGGCACUGUGCAGGCAUUUAGUCUGGUA